rnacentral:rRNA from 1 species
GACGAACGCUGGCGGCGUGCCUAAUACAUGCAAGUAGAACGCUGAAGGAGGAGCUUGCUUCUCUGGAUGAGUUGCGAACGGGUGAGUAACGCGUAGGUAACCUGCCUGGUAGCGGGGGAUAACUAUUGGAAACGAUAGCUAAUACCGCAUAAUAGUAGAUGUUGCAUGACAUUUGCUUAAAAGGUGCAAUUGCAUCACUACCAGAUGGACCUGCGUUGUAUUAGCUAGUUGGUGGGGUAACGGCUCACCAAGGCGACGAUACAUAGCCGACCUGAGAGGGUGAUCGGCCACACUGGGACUGAGACACGGCCCAGACUCCUACGGGAGGCAGCAGUAGGGAAUCUUCGGCAAUGGACGGAAGUCUGAACGAGCAACGCCGCGUGAGUGAAGAAGGUUUUCGGAUCGUAAAGCUCUGUUGUAAGAGAAGAACGAGUGUGAGAGUGGAAAGUUCACACUGUGACGGUAUCUUACCAGAAAGGGACGGCUAACUACGUG